CCUACGGGUGGCAGCAGUGGGGAAUAUUGCUCAAUGGGGGAAACCCUGAAGCAGCAACGCCGCGUGGAGGAUGAAGGCUUUCGGAGUGUAAACUUCUUUUUUUAGAGAAGAUAAUGACUGUAUCUAACGAAUAAGCACCGGCUAACUCCGUGCCAGCAGCCGCUGUAAUCCGGAGGGUGCAAGCGUUACUCGGAAUCAAGGGGCGUAAAGCGCGCGUAGGCGGGAUAGCAAGUCAGAUGUGAAAUCCUAGGGCUUAACCAUAGAACUGCAGUUGAAACUGAUGUUCUAGAGUAGGGGAGAGGUAGGUGGAAUUCUUGGUGUAGGGGUAAAAUGCGUAGAGAUCAAGAAGAAUACUCAUUGCGAAGGCGACCUGCUAGAACAUAACUGACGCUGAUGCGCGAAAGCGUGGGGAGCGAACAGGAUUAGAUACCCCUGUAGUC
rnacentral:rRNA from 1 species